rnacentral:misc_RNA from 1 species
UCCGAGUUGACCCCGGCAGUCUCCUAUGAGUCCCCACCAUAACGUGCUGGCAACAUAGAACGAGGGUUGCGCUCGUUGCGGGACUUAACCCAACAUCUCACGACACGAGCUGACGACAACCAUGCACCACCUGUGAGGCGCGCUUGCGGACCUGAAAUUUCUGCCAGUUUUCACCCCAUGUCAAGCCUUGGUAAGGUUCUUCGCGUUGCAUCGAAUUAAUCCGCAUGCUCCGCCGCUUGUGCGGGCCCCCGUCAAUUCCUUUGAGUUUUAGCCUUGCGGCCGUACUUCCCAGGCGGGGCGCUUAAUGCGUUUGCUGCGGCACAGAACUCGUGGAAAGAGCCCCACACCUAGCGCCCAACGUUUACGGCAUGGACUAC